UGCGCAGGUGGGCUUGUAAGUCAGUGGUGAAAUACUGCCGCUUAACGGUAGAACUGCCAUUGAUACUGCAAGUCUUGAGUAAGGCUGAGGUAGGCGGAAUGUGUUGUGUAGCGGUGAAAUGCAUAGAUAUGACACAGAACUCCAAUUGCGAAGGCAGCUUACUAAGCCAUUACUGACGCUGAGGCACGAAAGCGUGGGGAGCGAACAGGAUUAGAUACCCUGGUAGUC
rnacentral:rRNA from 1 species